UACGGGGGGAGCAAGCGUUGUUCGGAUUUACUGGGCGUAAAGCGCGUGUAGGCGGGUCUUUAAGUCAGGGGUGAAAUGCCAAGGCUCAACCUUGGAACUGCCUUUGAUACUGGAGAUCUUGAGUCCGGGAGAGGUGAGUGGAAUUGCGAGUGUAGAGGUGAAAUUCGUAGAUAUUCGCAAGAACACCAGUGGCGAAGGCGGCUCACUGGCCCGGAACUGACGCUGAGACGCGAAAGCGUGGGGAGCAAACAGG
rnacentral:rRNA from 1 species